ensembl:snRNA U1 U1 spliceosomal RNA
AUACUUGAUUUACUGCCCGUCCUUUCACCCCCACCUUCCAACAAAUGCCAUUGCACUUCGGAGGUGCUGACCCUUGCGAUUGUGGGAAUCUCGACUGCAUAAUUUCUGGUAGUGGGGGACUGCGUUCGCACUCUCCCCUG